UACACGGAAGGGCAAAACCGGAGCGAUCCGGCGACGCAAAGCUAAAGGGACUCCGUACAGGAGUUAGCCAGUUGCCCGU
rnacentral:ncRNA from 1 species